CCUACGUGAGGCAGCAGUGGGGAAUAUUGCACAAUGGGGGAAACCCUGAUGCAGCGACGCCGCGUGAGUGAAGAAGUAUUUCGGUAUGUAAAGCUCUAUCAGCAGGGAAGAAAAUGACGGUACCUGAUUAAGAAGCCCCGGCUAACUACGUGCCAGCAGCCGCGGUAAUAAGUAGGGGGCAAGCGUUAUCCGGAUUUACUGGGUGUAAAGGGAGCGUAGGCGGCAGGACAAGUCUGGAGUGAAAUGCCGGGGCUUAACCCCGGAACUGCUUUGGAAACUGUGCAGCUAGAGUGCAGGAGAGGUAAGUGGAAUGCCUAGUGUAGCGGUGAAAUGCGUAGAUAUUAGGAGGAACACCAGUGGCGAAGGCGGCUUACUGGACUGUAACUGACGUUGAGGCUCGAAAGCGUGGGGAGCAAACAGGAUUAGAUACCCGGGUAGUC
rnacentral:rRNA from 1 species